rnacentral:rRNA from 1 species
UACGAAGGGGGCUAGCGUUGUUCGGAUUUACUGGGCGUAAAGGGCGCGUAGGCGGCUUUGUGCGUCACCCGUGAAAGCCCCCGGCUCAACCGGGGAGGGUCGGGUGAAACGGCGGAGCUGGAGGCAGCGAGAGGCUGGUGGAAUUCCUGGUGUAGCGGUGAAAUGCGCAGAUAUCAGGAGGAACACCGGUGGCGAAGGCGGUUCUCUGGGCCUUACCUGACACUGAGGAGCGAAAGCGUGGGGAGCGAACAGG